UCUCCGUUGGUGAACCAGCGGAGGGAUCAUUAUCGAGUUUAUAACUCCCAAACCCUAUGUGAACUUACCACUUGUUGCUUCGGCGCGCGCUUCGGCGCCGCCGAGGACACUUAAACUCUUUGUUUUUAUAAGCAUUUCUGAGUGGCCGAAAGACAAAAUACAAAUGAAUCAAAACUUUCAACAACGGAUCUCUUGGUUCUG
rnacentral:misc_RNA from 1 species